rnacentral:rRNA from 1 species
GGUGGGGAUGACGUCAAAUCAUCAUGCCCCUUAUGAUUUGGGCUACACACGUGCUACAAUGGACAAUACAAAGGGCAGCGAAACCGCGAGGUCAAGCAAAUCCCAUAAAGUUGUUCUCAGUUCGGAUUGUAGUCUGCAACUCGACUACAUGAAGCUGGAAUCGCUAGUAAUCGUAGAUCAGCAUGCUACGGUGAAUACGUUCCCGGGUCUUGUACACACCGCCCGUCACACCACGAGAGUUUGUAACACCCGAAGCCGGUGGAGUAACCUUUUAGGAGCUAGCCGUCGAAGGUGGGACAAAUGAUUGGGGUGAAGUCGUAACAAGGUAGCCGUAUCGGAAGGUGCGGCUGGAUCACCUCCUUUCUAAGGA